CGCCGUUCGGGCGUUAUGACGUCACCUCCUACGCCGUGCAGCCUCAGUCGUGGAUCUUCGUCGUCAGCACCAAGAUAGACGCCACUGAGGCCACCUUCGCCUUUGACAUGGUGGAACUUUCGUGGAAACGACUUGGCAGCUGGGCGCUGCCCUUCGAUGGCCGUGGUCACUUUGACCAGGACCUCAAUGCCUUUGUCGGACUCUCCAAAGAACCGGACACCCUCGGCCAACUGGGCCAGGACGCGGAGUAACUGAGGGCGAGCUCAGAUGCGCUCGAUAUCGAGGUCGUCGGUUAGCGCUUCCGGAUCGGAGCCAUUUUUUUUAUACAUGAGGUUGCGGUGUGCCAAAAAAUGAAUACUGUUGGGGAAUACGUACGCGGCUGUGAUGGGUGGUAGACGGCCGCCCGCCAUCGGCGAGGUGAGCCGUGGAUCAGAAUCGACGGCGCCAUCUGAUCCGUGGCUCGGGAAGUUCACUUCCUGUGUACUGGUUGCAGGAGCGAGAGUUUUCUCGCCCAGCGCGUGGAUCAUUUGGAAGCCGAGGACUGCAGGAUGGUGUUACUGAUGCAGACUGUCGGCAGGGAAGACUUUGGUGCCUGCCCCUGUGGUUGUGAAUGGCCCUGCGGUGACGGAUUUUGAGGUGGCACAUCAGGCGGAGCGCGAGGCGGCGCAACAUCGGAUGGAGGACAGGGGCAAAGCACAAAUCUUCUCGGCGAAGGAGGCGGCAGCCGACAAAAGGAAGAGCUCGCCGCCGCCGCCGCCAGAGCUGUCAACGAUGAAGAUGAAUCCCCAAGCGCCGGGAUGGAACACGAGGUUAGUGAAGAACAAGCUGCAUCCCAUCCGAUAUUCAGGGAUUUAGGAAACAAACCUAGACAUGACUGAAGAAAUUGUACAGUUAGAGCAAGUGCUGAUUACUCACUGCAUUGAGGAAAUUCAUGCUGUAUGUGCUUGUGUUUGCAGGCUGAUUGCUCUGUGCAUUCAGAAAAUUCAUGUUUGCAGGCUGAUUCCUCUCUGCAUUCAGAAAAUCCAUGUCAUAUGUGCCUGUGUUUGCAGGUUGACUGCUCUCUGCAUUCGUAAAAUUGAUGCUAUAUGUAGCUGUUUUGCGGGCUUAGGAUUGGUGCCGCCGCUCCUAGCAGAACACCGUGCCCAGAUCGUAUCAGUGCGUUCGAGAAGGCAGCCAGAUGCUCGUAGAGAACCUAGCUGAAAACGUGAUCACACCGGUUCUUGGUCCUACUUUCAACUCUUAGGGAGAGGUGUAGAACUUCUACAAUCUGUACUCAUGGGAGAAGGGGUUUGGCAUCUGGUAUGGGAAGAGCCGGCUAAAUGCCGAGAGGACAAAGUGCAUCCAUGAGAUAGUGUGUGGGUGCUCGGGUGAAGCUGGUGUUUGAAACUUUGAAUGCGGGUGUGGUCAGUUUGCUCACAUGGGAUUGUUACGUAGCCAUGUCCCGAAGGUGCUCGAUUUCAUCAGAAUAAAAGAAAUUCCACAGAAGCACAUAGUUAAUAGGUGGACCAGAGAUGCAAGGUAUAUUCUGCCUGCUCACCUUACACAAUAUCAAAGGGACUAUGCUCACAAGAAUCCAUUCAGUUUUACGCAUUUCACUGUGUGCUUCCUUAGUAUAUGGGACAAAAAAAUGUUUGUCGGACUAGUGUGUCCGUCAUCAUUUUCGACGUUGUAAUUCUGAACUUUUCCUGAUUCCAUGUUUGAUAAAACCCACUAUGGUUUGUGAAUCCAUGUUCUCAGGAUUUCCUAGGAUUAUGACUAUCCAAGGAAAGAGUUUGACAUGCUAGUACUGUUUCUGAAUUUUCGUUCAAGUGUGAUGCCUGCCUUGGAUAUUUGAUGAGCGUAACUCUAAAUUUAUACAUAUUUGAAUUCUUGGGUAAUACUAAGUUUUCUGAAUAUGUAACAUUGAAUUUAUGCAGUCUUGUAAUUGUAAGUUUUCUGAAUAUGUAACCCUGAAUUUAUA